CACUUAGUUACCUACAAGGGAACUGCCAUAAGACUGUCAGCUGACUUCUCAACAGAAACUUUGCAGUCCUGCAGGUCCUGCCCCAGCAUGAAGACUGCUGGAUCGCUACUGUCUGAUACAAUGACCCAUCAGGACGACUCUACCUUGCCUUGCACUCUCGCUGCCUACAUCAGGAAGUGAUUCCUUGGUUCUGGACACUUCUCAAAAGCAGGCUUUGUAUAUAGUGUAAUUAUAAUUUCAGACUGAAAAGUUCAGGAUCAAAUGAGAACAAAUGAUAAAGUCCCCCCAGACAGGAAGUUUUCACAGCGCCAUGGUGUUUACUGCAUUCACAAAGAAGGCUGAAGACUUAUCGAAGACUGCAAAUCCUCCUAUUAAGUUGUGACAGUGCAGAAAUGGCCUAGACUUCUUUAAGCUCUCCAUGUGGUCUUCUAGAGCUGGUUUCUGUCCCAAGUUUUAUGAAAGACUCCUUUAAAAGAAGCUCCAAACAGGGAUGCCAGAGCAUUAAACAUUCAGUGAAGCCUUUAAGAACAAGAUAGAAAGGCUUCAAUAGCCUUUCAGUUAUACUGGAAACACUACUUGAUUAAA